GGAGCCCUUCGAAUCCGUGACCUCAUUGUUUUCUGCAUCCCAGCGCCCGAGCGAGAAUUCGUGGACCACGAUACCGACACGGAACGUGCAAGUACGGGGGACACGAAUCCCGUUUCGAGUUUCACCCGUGACCGCACCGAGAACGGGCAGCCUAAGGCGAACAGCUAGAGAUUGACGACCGAAUUCCAUCAAGUAGGUACGAAACACAGGAAACCGGGAGUCGGCCAAUGAAAAUUGUGCCAACAAUGAAGAGGAUAGCAAGGUCGGACGUCGCUGCACGAGGCAGGGAUCCAA
rnacentral:misc_RNA from 1 species